CUCUCUCUCUCUCUCUCUCUCUCUUUCUCUGUUCUGCAGUCUGCCCUAGGGUUUUCUCUCUAGGUUUUCGCUCCCAUCUGAAAAUCGAGGCCAUCGAUUCGGUGGUCCCACACCGCAUCUUUUUAAUCGAUCCGUACUCGGAUCUUUCGGCGGUCCGCGAUGAAGCUGACGGUGAAGACGCUGAAAGGCAGCCACUUCACAAUCCAGGUGCAGCCAAACGACACGGUUAUGGCUGUAAAGAAGAAUAUUGAAGAGGCACAAGGUAAAAACAGCUAUCCUUGUGGGCAACAAUUAUUGAUUCAUAAUGGAAAGGUCUUAAAAGACGAGAGUACUUUGGAGGAGAACAAAGUCAGUGAAGAUGGUUUUCUUGUUGUCAUGCUUAGCAAGAGCAAAACCACAGGUACAUCUGGAGCCUCAUCCACUCAGCCGCCUCCAACAACAACGACAGCACCAGCUUCUCUUCCUGUUUCUCUGCAGGAGGCCCCUCCACAAGCACCUGCUGCAACGAGCGCUGCAACGAGCACUGCAACGACCACUGCAACGACCACUGCAACUGGUUCUGAAACUGCAGCACCAGAAGUGCAGGCUGAUGUAUACGGUCAAGCUGCAUCCAAUCUGGUCGCGGGUAAUACUCUUGAGCAGAUGAUUCAACAAAUGAUAGAUAUGGGCGGAGGUAGCUGGGACCGAGAGACAGUCAUGCGUGCACUUCGUGCAGCUUACAACAAUCCAGAGCGAGCUGUGGAAUAUUUAUAUUCUGGUAUUCCGGCAGCAGCAGAAGUUGCUGUUCCAGUAGCUCGAGUUCCCUCAAAUCAGGCAUCAGCCCAAGGGGCCAAUGCCGCAACAACUGAAGCCGAUUUAGCAGGGGUGGCACCUCUCUCCGGAUUACCCAAUUCGGCUCCAUUGAAUCUGUUUCCGCAGGGAGCUCCCAAUCCCGGUACUGGUGGCGGAGCUGGAUCUCUUGAUUUCCUUAGAAAUAACCAACAGUUCCAAGCUCUGCGUUCGAUGGUCCAAGCAAAUCCACAAAUUCUACAGCCAAUGCUUCGUGAGCUAAGCAAACAGAAUCCACAACUUCUGAGACUAAUUCAAGAACACCAUGCUGAGUUUCUUCAAUUAAUAAAUGAGCCCCUUGAGGGUGCUGAAGGAUGUUACUGAAAUACAGAGGAAUUAUAGGGUCCUGAUGUUUCACAAUGUGAAUAGUUUGCUGAUGCACCAGUUUGUGUUUAGGGAUCCCAAUCCUUGAAGGAUCCUACAAUGUCGGCAUGGUGCAUGCAGAAAUUUCCCAGCUUAGAUGUUUCUAACCUUUGGGUCAGUUGACUAAAAUAAAUCAUAAGGGAGAAAGGUAACUGUCCAAACUAACCACAUAGAUCAGAUGGGCUGAAUCAUCCAUUCUGGAAAAUUCUUGGGCACCCUUUAUCCACAGCAGGGUGAAUCACAUAGCAUCUAGAUUACCAAACUGUGGGCUGCACUCAUGUGAACUGGAUGCAUCGGGACCUUAUAAUCCUCUGCAAUCGAACAGUCAUACCUUCAGCAAACGAACACAUAUCCACUUUGCUCUAUGAUGCCUGGUCGUCUUUGGCUGGCCUUCAGUGUCAGGUGUACAUGACUCAAAUGAGCUAAAACGGGAUCUGUUUGAGCCAGCUGAGCAGGACAUGCCCCAUUCGAUCAGCGUGACACCAGCAGAACAGGAGGCUAUUGAGCGACUUGAAGCAAUGGGAUUUGACAGAGCUCUUGUGAUCGAGGCAUUCCUAGCCUGUGACAGGA